rnacentral:rRNA from 1 species
GGACUACACGGGUAUCUAAUCCUGUUUGCUACCCACGCUUUCGUGUCUCAGCGUCAGUGAUGGUCCAGAAAGCCGUCUUCACCACAGGUGUUCCUCCUGAUAUCUACGCAUUUCACCGCUACACCAGGAAUUCCGCUUUCCCUUCCCAUACUCAAGCCCUCCAGUUUUCGGCGCACCCUCCCAGUUGAGCCGGGAGAUUUCACACCGAACUUAGAGAACCGCCUACCCACUCUUUACGCCCAGUAACUCCGAACAACGCUUGCUGCCUACGUAUUACCGCGGCUGCUGGCAC